GUUGUGGGAAUCCAUCCAGAAUGCAAGAUAUUCCAGCAAGUGGUCAAAGAGGAGGCUCUCUGCUUAGAAAAGAAUGACUCUCUUUCACCUGAUCUUAAAGGAUGUGCCAGAGAUUGGGAUGGUCUAACCUGCUGGCCCACAGUUGCUUUUGGGGAAGUGGUUAAAGUUCCCUGUCCAAGUUUUUUUGAAGAAAUCACCAAUAUCCAUGGUUUCCUUCAGAGAAACUGUACACAGGAGGCAUAUUGGUCAGAACCAUUCCCACCAUACACCAUUGCCUGUGG